rnacentral:rRNA from 1 species
GACGAACGCUGGCGGCGUGCUUAACACAUGCAAGUCGAGCGGUAAGGCCCUUUCGGGGGUACGACGAGCGGCGAACGGGUAGAGUAACACGUGGGUGACCUGCCCUCAGCUCUGGGAUAAGCCUGGGAAACUGGGUCUAAUACUGGAUAUGACUCCACGGUGCAUGUCGUGGGGUGGAAAGCCUUGUGCGGCUGAGGAUGGGCCCGCGGCCUAUCAGCUUGUUGGUGGGGUGAGGCCUACCAAGGCGACGACGGGUAGCCGGCCUGAGAGGGCGACCGGCCACACUGGGACUGAGACACGGCCCAGACUCCUACGGGAGGCAGCAGUGGGGAAUCUUGCGCAAUGGGCGAAAGCCUGACGCAGCGACGCCGCGUGAGGGAUGACGGCCU